rnacentral:rRNA from 1 species
UCUACCCUUGGUCAGGUUGAAGUUCAGGUAACACUGAAUGGAGGACCGAACCGACUUACGUUGAAAAGUGAGCGGAUGAACUGAGGGUAGCGGAGAAAUUCCAAUCGAACUUGGAGAUAGCUGGUUCUCUCCGAAAUAGCUUUAGGGCUAGCCUCAAGUGAUGAUUAUUGGAGGUAGAGCACUGUUUGGACGAGGGGCCCCUCUCGGGUUACCGAAUUCAGACAAACUCCGAAUGCCAAUUAAUUUAACUUGGGAGUCAGAACAUGGGUGAUAAGGUCCGUGUUCGAAAGGGAAACAGCCCAGACCACCAGCUAAGGUCCCAAAAUAUAUGUUAAGUGGAAAAGGAUGUGGCGUUGCCCAGACAACUAGGAUGUUGGCUUAGAAGCAGCCAUCAUUUAAAGAGUGCGUAAUAGCUCACUAGUCGAGUGACACUGCGCCGAAAAUGUACCGGGGCUAAACAUAUUACCGAAGCUGUGGAUUGUCCUUUGGACAAUGGUAGGAGAGCGUUCUAAGGGCGUCGAAGCAUGAUCGCAAGGACAUGUGGAGCGCUUAGAAGUGAGAAUGCCGGUGUGAGUAGCGAAAGACGGGUGAGAAUCCCGUCCACCGAUUGACUAAGGUUUCCAGAGGAAGGCUCGUCCGCUCUGGGUUAGUCGGGUCCUAAGCUGAGGCCGACAGGCGUAGGCGAUGGAUCAAAGGU